UUCUUAGCUUUCUUAAUACUGGGUGACAUCUUGUUAAAAAAACAUUUUUUUGAGUAGACUUUCAAAUAUCCCAUCCCUAGUUGUGAUUGAUUACAAAUUCUUUCCUCCCUGCAUGUUUAUCCUUUGUGAUUUUGCAGCUUGUUCCAUCAAGAGGGGGUCUAUUUCCCUACACCUCAAAUCUGGGUUUGGCUUUGACUAAUGUGACAUUAGAAAGCAUGAUACGAGAAGAGACCUGAAGAUUGCCUGUGCAUUGGGACUUGCCGUCUCUCGCUGCUCUUGGGAACCUUGUGACCAUCACCAUGUGGAAAACCAGAAGUCUAUCAAUUGCUUAUUGCUGCAUGAAGACUUGUCCGGUAUUGACCCUCUGAGGACAGAAAUGAGCCACAUGCUCAAAGGAAGAGAAUAGAAGUCCUGAUCACAGGAGAGUGGAACUGUUACCUCAUAGGGCCUCAGCACUAACCUCCUUCAAGCCUGCAGAUGGCUGGUCCUAAUGAUCCUUUGGAUCAAUGCAAAAAUUUACCUCUCGUUGAAGAGCUGAGAAUAUUCCAUCCUCUGCUGCUUAUGGAACACCUCACAAGGCAUUUACCUGCUCCCUGUCAAUGAAGUUUGUAUU